UACGGGGGGAGCGAGCGUUGUUCGGAUUUACUGGGCGUAAAGGGCGCGUAGGCGGCCAGCACAAGUCAGUUGUGAAAUCUCCGAGCUUAACUCGGAAAGGUCAACUGAUACUGUGCGGCUAGAGUGCGGAAGGGGCAACUGGAAUUCUUGGUGUAGCGGUGAAAUGCGUAGAUAUCAAGAGGAACACCUGCGGCGAAGGCGGGUUGCUGGGCCGACACUGACGCUGAUGCGCGAAAGCUAGGGGAUCGAACGGG
rnacentral:rRNA from 1 species